rfam:Ectocarpus siliculosus strain Ec 32, whole genome shotgun sequence assembly, chromosome LG24
UCUCUCGUAGUGUAGUGGUUAUCACACCAGCCUUUGAAGCUGGUACCCCGAGUUCGAAUCUCGGCGAGAGAU